GACGAACGCUGGCGGCGUGCUUAACACAUGCAAGUCGAGGGCAGGCCGCAAGGCCUGACCGGCGAACGGGUGCGUAACACGUGAGCGACCUUCCGUCUUCUGGGGGGAUAGCCGGCCCAACGGCCGGGUAAUACCGCAUACGCUCUUUUGGUUGCAUGACCGAGAGAGGAAACUUCCGGGGGAGGACGAGGGGCUCGCGGCCCAUCAGCUAGUUGGGGGACGG
rnacentral:rRNA from 1 species